UUUGAACGCUGGCGGAAUGCUUUACACAUGCAAGUCGAACGGCAGCACGGACUUCGGUCUGGUGGCGAGUGGCGAACGGGUGAGUAAUGUAUCGGAACGUGCCCAGUCGUGGGGGAUAACGUAGUGAAAAUUACGCUAAUACCGCAUACGAUCUAUGGAUGAAAGCGGGGGAUCGCAAGACCUCGCGCGAUUGGAGCGGCCGAUAUCAGAUUAGGUAGUUGGUGGGGUAAAGGCCCACCAAGCCAACGAUCUGUAGCUGGUCUGAGAGGACGACCAGCCACACUGGAACUGAGACACGGUCCAGACUCCUACGGGAGGCAGCAGUGGGGAAUUUUGGACAAUGGGCGAAAGCCUGAUUCAGCCAUUCCGCGUGCAGGAUGAAGGCCCUCGGGUUGUAAACUGCUUUUGUACAGAACGAAAAGGUUUCUACUAAUACUAGGAGCUCAUAACGGUACUGUAAGAAUAAGCACCGGCUAACUACGUGCCAGCCGCCGCCGUAA
rnacentral:rRNA from 1 species